AACUAGGUGGCUUAGUGGACAAAGCACUGGUCCUGGAAACUAGAGGUUCUGAGUUCAAUUCUAGCCUCAGAUA
rfam:Monodelphis domestica chromosome 7, whole genome shotgun sequence.